rnacentral:lncRNA from 1 species
AUCUGGCUUCAUCAAAACUGCACAGUAUAUGAGCAGAAGCCCGCGAGUCCGAGCGAAUCUCGACUCGGAUUCGACGAGCGGCGCCUGCCGUGACACCUGCAGCGGUCAAGCCAUCGGGAUCGCCAAACAUCCCCACGCUGAGUAAUCACGCACCGUGAGUUCCACGAUGGGUGGAGAGCCCGUGCAAAUCUUGCGCGUUAUUGGUGGCCAGAGAGUCGAAUUCAUGGAAAGCGAUCUCCAGCGCAUUCUCUUGGCCGAAGACGUGAAAGACAAGCCAGUCGUGGUGAUAUCGAUUGCCGGAUCAUAUCGACAAGGAAAGUCCUUUCUGCUAAGCUUCUUUUUGCGGUACCUGAGGAACAAUGAUCGAUCGAAAUGGAUGGAGGACACAGACGCCCCUUUACGUGGCUUUAAGUGGAGGGCAGGCUGUGAGCGCGAGACAACGGGCAUUAUGGUUUGGAACUGAAGUUUUCACGAUGACCGACUCGAAUGGCGAAGAGGUGGUGGUAUUGCUCAUGGACACCCAAGGGACCUUCGAUUCCAAGUCCACAACGAAAAGAGAGCAUGACCAUAUUCUCUCUCUCCAUGAUGACCAGCUCUGUGCAGAUUUACAACGUAAUGAACAACAUUCAGGAGGACCAUCUACAGAACCUUCAAUUUUUCGCUGAGUACGGCAGGCUUGCGCAGAAGGGCAAUGAAACAAGGCCUUUCCAGAAGCUCUUGUUUCUGGUGCGAGACUGGAACUGGCCGGACGACUACGAGUUUGGCUUCAGUGGUGGCAGAUCACUCGUCGAGAGUCGUCUGAACAUCACAGAAGAACAAGCUGCUGAGUUGAGGACGUUGCGGCAAAGCAUCUUGUCUUGCUUUUCGGAAAUUGAAGGAUUCCUGCUGCCCAGC